AACACGUGGGUAACCUACCUUCAAGCUGGGGAUAACGUUUGGAAACGAACGCUAAUACCGAAUAAGAUAUAGCAAUAUAUUGAAAGAAGCCCUUAAAAGCUUCACUUAAAGAUGGGCCUGCGGCGUAUUAACUAGUUGGUGAGGUAAACGGCCCCACCAAGUCUGCGAUCAGUAGCCGGACUGAGAGGUUGAUCGGCCACAUUGGGACUGAGACACGGCCCAGACUCCUACGGGAGGCAGCAGUGGGGGAUAUUGCACAAUGGGAGAAAGCCUGAUGCAGCGACGCCGCGUGAGGGAAGACGGUUUUCGGAUUGUAAACCUCUGUCUUCGGGGACGAAAAUGACGGUACCCGAGGAGGAAGCCACGGCUAACUACGUG
rnacentral:rRNA from 1 species